GUGUUCCGUUCGUCUACUCAAGUCUGUUCAUUACUUAGCUCAUGUGAUUGUAUCAUUGCCAGAAAGAAAGCCCUUGAACAUGGUGGUAUUAAUAGCAUCUAAAUCAGUGUUAACUUCAUGUGUGGUCUGUGAUCACUUUCACUUUAACUGUUCUCCUUGCCUCUUGUCAUUUCCCCUGUGCUCCCUAGCCAGAUUUAUAGUUAAAAAUACAAGUUCAUCUAUUUAGCAAAAAUCAAAUGCCAGCCACAAGCCAGACACUGGCAGCACGUUAGAUAGGCCAGGCACUAAGGUGGAUAUGCUCUCCACCCUCUGUGAACGAACAGACUACCAGGAUAAACCACGAUAAAAAGUAAUGUAGUGAGAGAGUGAUUUUCUUUCCCCAAAGAAAAUCAACAGGGAGCCGUGGCAGAGAAUAACAGGAAGGGCUCCAGUAUUUGUCUGAGAUCCUAUUUGAGUUAAGACCUGAGGAAUGAGAAGGGGCCAGCCAAGCGCAGAGGCAGCAGCCUGUGCCAGGCCCCUGGGCAGCGGGCGCUCAGUAAGCUCUGUGAGAGGAAAGAGCAGUGAGGGAGGACUGGAGAGGUGCAGGUGCUACCGGCCCGGCCCGCGUCUGGUACAAGAACUGCGGGUUUUAUUCCAAGUUGUAGGGAGUUUGCAUGUUUUUUGGCAGCCUUGAGUGGGUUUUAAAUAGGGCGUGAGAGGACUCCUGUGACCUCUAGAAGGAGUUGAUGAUCCUGCCAAACUAUGUCUAGCCCUUCUUCUGUCACCUUUCAGCAUUUGCUCCUGCUGUUUCCUCCUAUUGGACCGUCAUAGAGGUGUCCACAGGUUGUGCAUAAUGGUCAGCACCGGGCCUAGUGGCUGUAGGGUGCGGAAAUGACAUUUGGAAAAGCUCAUUUGGCUUCCUAGCUUUUCUUAUGACUCACUGCCUUGGGAAAUCAGUGGGUGGGCUCAGGUGCACCUGGCUCCAGGUCAGGGCGUGGCAUGUUGGAGCAGGCACACAGCUGAAGGCUGGCCAGUGCUCCUGGAGGACAACCAGUGCCUUACCAGGUGCUCCCUUCCUCCAGGUGACCUUCGCUUUCUGUGGACAUAAUUUCAGUCUGUAAUCUUUUAUUUUCCCAGACUCUUUGGCCACCAGAUGUUUCAUGAAUAGGCAACAUGAAAUCUAAUUCCAGCCGCCUCGUUAUCAAGAGCUGUUGACAGAAUUACCUUAAUCUCCUUACUUUCCUCUAUUCCUGAUAAGAGAAGGUAGACUACUGGAUAAUAAUAGGAACCUCCAUUAUUAAGGAUCAGGCUGCCACCUUCCUGGGUCUAUCAGAGUUGGGCCUUAGAGAUCAAACAUGUAGUUUGACUCCUUCCGUUUCCAUAUGACCCAGGACAGAGGUGGCGUAUGUUUCCCAAGGUCUCAGAGGCCAGUUUGGUCUGGAACCAUCAGUGACUACACAGGAAUGUGAAAGCUCAUUGAGGACAUUUUAGUGCCAAGGCUGACAGAUUAAAUAUGUGUAGAAUCCAGUGUUUUGGUGUGUAUGUAUAAUCUAAUGAUUGCUCAUGCUUUUACUGUCUCAUGCCCACUUCAGUGAUGUGUCACUUUCUCUUCUGUGUGUCCUCACCAGCCCAUUUUAAUACAGAGAGUGUAACAGCAAUUAGCUCUUUGCAUGACUCCUGAACACCUGUGCAGCACUUAAUUAAAUAGACACUUGUGGAUCCCUGUU